GUGUCAGCCGCCGCGGUAAUACGUAGGGUCCGAGCGUUGUCCGGAGUUACUGGGCGUAAAGCGCGCGCAGGCGGCGGUGCUGGCCCGGCGUGAAAGCCCCCGGCUCAACCGGGGAGAGUCGUCGGGGACCGCACCGCUUGAGGGCGGUAGGGGCUGGUGGAAUGCCUGGUGUAGUGGUGAAAUGCGUAGAGAUCAGGCAGAACACCUGGGGCGAAGGCGGCCAGCUGGGCCGUCCCUGACGCUGAGGCGCGAAGGCGUGGGGAGCGAACGGGAUUAGAAACCCCAGUAGUCC
rnacentral:rRNA from 1 species